rnacentral:rRNA from 1 species
GAUGAACGCUGGCGGCGUGCCUAAUACAUGCCAGUCGAGCGAACAGACAAGGAGCUUGCUCCUUUGACGUUAGCGGCGGACGGGUGAGUAACACGUGGAUAACCUACCUAUAAGACUGGGAUAACUUCGGGAAACCGGAGCUAAUACCGGAUAACAUGUUGAACCGCAUGGUUCAACAGUGAAAGACGGUCUUGCUGUCACUUAUAGAUGGAUCCGCGCCGCAUUAGCUAGUUGGUAAGGUAACGGCUUACCAAGGCAACGAUGCGUAGCCGACCUGAGAGGGUGAUCGGCCACACUGGAACUGAGACACGGUCCAGACUCCUACGGGAGGCAGCAGUAGGGAAUCUUCCGCAAUGGGCGAAAGCCUGACGGAGCAACGCCGCGUGAGUGAAGAAGGUCUUCGGAUCGUAAAACUCUGUUAUUAGGGAAGAACAAAUGUGUAAGUAACUAUGCACGUCUUGACGGUACCUAAUCAGAAAGCCACGGCUAACUACGUG